UGGGGAAUUUUGGACAAUGGGCGAAAGCCUGAUCCAGCAAUGCCGCGUGUGUGAAGAAGGCCUUCGGGUUGUAAAGCACUUUUGUCCGGAAAGAAAUCCUUGGCUCUAAUACAGUCGGGGGAUGACGGUACCGGAAGAAUAAGCACCGGCUAACUACGUGCCAGCAGCCGCGGUAAUACGUAGGGUGCAAGCGUUAAUCGGAAUUACUGGGCGUAAAGCGUGCGCAGGCGGUUUGCUAAGACCGAUGUGAAAUCCCCGGGCUCAACCUGGGAACUGCAUUGGUGACUGGCAGGCUAGAGUAUGGCAGAGGGGGGUAGAAUUCCACGUGUAGCAGUGAAAUGCGUAGAGAUGUGGAGGAAUACCGAUGGCGAAAGGCAGCCCCCUGGGCCAAAUACUGACGCUCAUGCACGAAAAGCGUGGGGAGCAAAACAGGAUUAGAUACCCUGGUAGUCCACGCCCUAAAACGAUGUCAACUAGUUGUUGGGGAUUCAUUUCCUUAGUAACGUAGCUAACGCGUGAAGUUGACCGCCUGGGGAGUACGGUCGCAAAGAUUAAAACUCAAAUGAAUUGACGGGGUCAUAGCUGUUUCCU
rnacentral:rRNA from 1 species